CCUACGGGAGGCUGCAGUCGAGAAUCAUUCACAAUGGGGGAAACCCUGAUGGUGCGACGCCGCGUGGGGGAAUGAAGGUCUUCGGAUUGUAAACCCCCGUCAUGUGGGAGCAAAUUAAAAAGAUAGUACCACAAGAGGAAGAGACGGCUAACUCUGUGCCAGCAGCCGCGGUAAUACAGAGGUCUCAAGCGUUGUUCGGAAUCACUGGGCGUAAGGCGUGCGUAGGCUGUUUCGUAAGUCGUGUGUGAAAGGCGCGGGCUCAACCCGCGGACGGCACAUGAUACUGCGAGACUAGAGUAAUGGAUGGGGAACCGGAAUUCUCGGUGUAGCAGUGAAAUGCGUAGAUAUCGAGAGGAACACUCGUGGCGAAGGCGGGUUCCUGGACAUUAACUGACGCUGAGGCACGAAGGCCAGGGGAGCGAAAGGGAUUAGAUACCCUGGUAGUC
rnacentral:rRNA from 1 species